rnacentral:rRNA from 1 species
CCUACGGGAGGCAGCAGUAGGGAAUCUUCCACAAUGGGCGAAAGCCUGAUGGAGCGACGCCGCGUGCAGGAUGAAGGCCUUCGGGUUGUAAACUGCUUUUGCAAGAGAAGAUUAUGACGGUAUCUUGCGAAUAAGAGUUGGCUAACUCCGUGCCAGCAGCCGCGGUAAUACGGAGAACUCAAGCGUUACCCGGAAUCACUGGGCGUAAAGCGUUGCGUAGGCGGUUUGUUAAGUGAGAUAUGAAAUCCCAUGGCUCAACCAUGGAACUGUGUCUCAAACUAGCAAACUGGAGGAUGGUAGAGGCGAGUGGAAUUGCUGGUGUAGGAGUGAAAUCCGUAGAUAUCAGCAGGAACACCAAUGGCGAAGGCAGCUCGCUGGACCAUUCCUGACGCUGAGGCACGAAAGCGUGGGUAGCGAACCGGAUUAGAUACCCUUGUAGU